AACAGAGGGAAUGUGAUCACUUAUAAAAAAAGGGAAACAAAGGGUAUUCAGCUCAUAACUGGAAUGUUUCAUUGUCCACAGAUGACCACCUGGCCACGCAAGAAGCACCCACACUCCAUGCACAUGGCCAUGGCAUAUCACACCUGCAUGUACACUGUUUGUGGAGACAUACAUAAACUGUGUGUACUGCAUGUAUGACACAAGACAACUCCUCCACACCUGUAUAGCAAUGUGGAGAGUCACGUAUACCGAUUUGCUUUAUCUUCUCAUAUAAAGCCUCCCUUACGAGAUGGAUUUUGUAACAUCAGAGGCAAAGUUAAUCUUUUUUUAUUGGACUGAGCACCGAUCUGCCUGCUUUCCUGUGCUGUCUUUGUCCUGUGCUUAUAACAAUAUAUAAAUAUGUGUAAGAGGGACAUAUAUACAAGGAUAUGUAUUCCGGUGUAAUUAUGGGAUGUUCAGUUGUUUUUAGAUAUAAACACACUGACAUGGUUUUGCUUGAAAUUUAUCAGCGGCAUAAUGAGAUGCAAAAAAAAAAGAAAACACACUAUUCUCUGGUGCAUGAAUCUUGUAAUUUUACUCAGGCCAUGCUUUGCUUUGUUUGGACUGAAAUAUGUCCAUUUAUUUAAUGAGAUCCAAUAGUUACUGUUUAUGCAAGAAGAUAGAAUGGCUAAGGCUCUUUAGUCCACACUGAUUAUCCUUAGGCCCCCAUGUGCCAUUUACACUAGUGGAAAGAUAUGUACAAGUUCUAUAUCUAUGUCCAAGGCUAGUCGAAGAUCAUGCUGCAACCCCUAAUGUCCAAUCACUUUUUACUGAAAGUGACAUUGAUGUUUUAG